rnacentral:rRNA from 1 species
CAGUAGCCACGGGAAUACGUAGGUGGCAAGCGUUGUCCGGAAUUAUUGGGCGUAAAGGGCUCGCAGGCGGUUUCUUAAGUCUGAUGUGAAAGCCCCCGGCUCAACCGGGGAGGGUCAUUGGAAACUGGGAAACUUGAGUGCAGAAGAGGAGAGUGGGAUUCCACGUGUAGCGGUGAAAUGCGUAGAGAUGUGGAGGAACACCAGUGGCGAAGGCGACUCUCUGGUCUGUAACUGACGCUGAGGAGCGAAAGCGUGGGGAGCGAACAGGAUUAGAUACCCCCGUAGUCCCUGUCUCUUAUAU